UACGUAGGGACCAAGCGUUGUUCGGAUUUACUGGGCGUAAAGGGCGCGUAGGCGGCGCGGUAAGUCACUUGUGAAAUCUCUGAGCUUAACUCAGAACGGCCAAGUGAUACUGCAGUGCUAGAGUGUGGAAGGGGCAAUCGGAAUUCUUGGUGUAGCGGUGAAAUGCGCAGAUAUCAGGAGGAACACCGAUGGCGAAGGCAGCUCGCUGGGACGGUACUGACGCUGAGGCGCGAAAGCGUGGGGAGCAAACAGG
rnacentral:rRNA from 1 species